CCCGAGGUUGCCGGGGCGUCUGACAUUCGUCAGUUUCGGCCGAUUACGGUCAUCAACGUCAUCUUCAGGAUCCUGGCUAAAGGGUACGCCAAUGGGGUGACCCUGCUAGCUGACCAUGUCACGCACCCCAACCAGUCCGAUUUCAUUAAGGGCCGGUACAUCCUAGAUGGGCUAGUCCUUCAUGAAGUCCUCCAUGAGGUCCGCUCCAAAAACCUCAAGGCGGUCUUUCUGAAGAUUGACUUUCAUAAAGCCUACGACACAGUUAGCUGGCCCUUCCUUAGGGAGGUCCUU
rnacentral:rRNA from 1 species